rnacentral:rRNA from 1 species
AACGAACGCUGGCGGCAUGCCUAACACAUGCAAGUCGAACGCGUGUAGCAAUACACGAGUGGCGCACGGGUGAGUAACGCGUGGGAACCUGCCCAGUGGUAGGGAAUAACUGCGGGAAACUGCAGCUAAUACCCUAUACGCCCUACGGGGGAAGGUUUUUCGCCAUUGGAGGGGCCCGCGUCGGAUUAGCUAGUUGGUGAGGUAAGAGCUUACCAAGGCGACGAUCCGUAGCUGGUCUGAGAGGAUGAUCAGCCACACUGGGACUGAGACACGGCCCAGACUCCUACGGGAGGCAGCAGUGGGGAAUAUUGGACAAUGGGGGCAACCCUGAUCCAGCAAUGCCGCGUGAGUGAUGAAGGCCUUAGGGUUGUAAAGCUCUUUCGGCGGGGACGAUGAUGACGGUACCCGCAGAAGAAGCCCCGGCUAACUUCGUGCCAGCCGCCGCCGUAACAC